rnacentral:rRNA from 1 species
CCUUACGGGGGGGAGCAGUGAGGAAUUUUGCGCAAUGGGGGAAACCCUGACGCAGCAACGCCGCGUGAGUGAAGAAGGCCUUUGGGUCGUAAAGCUCUGUCGACAGGGAAGAAGUUAGAGUUUUCAAAUAGGGGAUUCUAUUGACGGUACCUGUAGAGGAAGCACCGGCUAACUCCGUGCCAGCAGCCGCGGUAAUACGGGGGGUGCAAGCGUUAUUCGGAAUUAUUGGGCGUAAAGGGCGCGUAGGCGGUCUUGUCGGUCAGAUGUGAAAGCCCAGGGCUCAACCCUGGACGUGCAUUUGAAACAGCAAGACUUGAAUACUGGAGAGGAGAGCGGAAUUCCUGGUGUAGAGGUGAAAUUCGUAGAUAUCAGGAGGAACACCGAUGGCGAAGGCAGCUCUCUGGACAGAUAUUGACGCUGAGGCGCGAAGGCGUGGGUAGCGAACAGGAUUAGAUACCCUGGUAGUCCACGCAGUAAACGAUGUUCACUAGGUGUGUCGGAUAUUAAAAUCUGAUGUGCCCAAGCUAACGCAUUAAGUGAACCGCCUG